GGGAGUCAUGGAAUUGUUUCUGGCCUCCUAGUUCUUAUGAUCAUAUCCGCCUCCAGAAGGCAGUCGCGCACCACCUUCCUCCAGGUGCAGCGUGGGACGUGCACGGUGACGUGAGGGUCUUGGUUAGCUGUGGCCAAACUCACGCUACCUGCAGGAGCCAGCUGGAAGAGUCCAGACCACUAGGGGCCCGCCGCAACACUUUUUUGAAGGUGUGGACACUGAUGACGAGGCACCACCCCCCCUAAGGAAAACAGCCCGACAAUCUGUAGAUGUAGGGCCAGACAUCAAUAGUGAGUGGCUAUUUGGGCCAUCGACCACCCAAAGAGCUCAAUCAAAUGGCAGCCAGAGACUUGAGCUACUACAUCUAGAUACAGUCCAACCAAGCCACCAGCUAUUGCAUGUUA